AUCUGACGGCUCAACCGUUAGGCUUUCGGUGGAUACUGCCAGACUUGGAACCGGGAGAGGUAAGAGGUACUACAGGGGUAGGAGUGAAAUCUUGUAAUCCCUGUGAGACCACCUGUGGCGAAGGCGUCUUACCAGAACGGGUUCGACGGUGAGGGACGAAAGCUGGGGGCACGAACCGGAUUAGAUACCCGGGUAGUCCCAGCCGUAAACGAUGCUCGCUAG
rnacentral:rRNA from 1 species